rnacentral:rRNA from 1 species
AACGAACGCUGGCGGCAGGCUUAACACAUGCAAGUCGAGCGCAUCCUUCGGGGUGAGCGGCGGACGGGUUAGUAACGCGUGGGAACGUGCCCUCUUCUACGGAAUAGCACAGGGAAAGUUGGAUUAAUGCCGUAUUCGCCCUUCGGGGGAGAGGUUUAUCGGGGGAGGAUCGGCCCGCGUUGGAUUAGGUAGUUGGUGGGGUAAUGGCCUACCAAGCCGACGAUCCAUAGCUGGUUUGAGAGGAUGAUCAGCGACACUGGGACUGAGACACGGCCCAGAAUCCUACGGGAGGCAGCAGUGGGGAAUCUUGGACAAUGGGGGCAACCCUGAUCCAGCCAUGCCGCGUGAUCGAUGAAGGCCUUAGGGUUGUAAAGAUCUUUCAGCUGGGAAGAUAAUGACGGUACCAGCAGAAGAAGCCCCGGCUAACUCCGUGCCAGCCGCCGCGGUAAAAC